rnacentral:rRNA from 1 species
UACAGAGGGGGCAAGCGUUGUUCGGAAUUACUGGGCGUAAAGGGCGCGUAGGCGGCCUGUUAAGUCGAACGUGAAAUCCCCGGGCUCAACCCGGGAACUGCGUCCGAUACUGGCAGGCUUGAAUCCGGGAGAGGGAUGCGGAAUUCCAGGUGUAGAGGUGAAAUUCGUAGAUAUUCGGCGGAACACCAGUGGCGAAGGCGACUCACUGGCCCGAUACUGACGCUGAGGCGCGAAAGCGUGGGGAGCAAACAGG